CACUGUGCAGCAUUUCAUAAUGUGCAAUUGCUGCUGAGCCCCGAUUCAGCUUUUUCCUCUUGCAGGAUGUAAUGCGUCUCAGGCUUCUGCCCCGCUCUCAGGGAUAAUGCAAGCAGCACAAAUCUCCCCAGAGCUGCCUGAACAGCCAGCUCUUGCAGCAGCAUGAGCUGAUCUGCAGCCAGGCUGGGGCUGCAGGUAACAGAACAUCUCGGGCAGGACGGCACUGUCUCACCGAGAAGAGGAGAGGGAGCUGCUGCCUGCGGAGCACCUUGCAGUUGGUGCAUUGCUAACUGACUGCAAG
rnacentral:lncRNA from 1 species